rnacentral:rRNA from 1 species
GUAAGCAACGUGCCCUGAAGUCCGGGAUAUACCGGGGAAACCCGGGGCAAUACCGGAUGUGGUCGCAGCCCGGCAUCGGGAGGCGACUAAACGGUUUUUCGCUUUAGGAGCGGCUUACGGCCUAUCAGCUAGUUGGCGGGGUAAAGGCCCACCAAGGCUUCGACGGGUAACUGGUCUGAGAGGACGACCAGUCCGAGUGGGACUGAGACACGGCC